rnacentral:rRNA from 1 species
GAAUAAUAAGUUAGCGGCGGACGGGUGCGUAACGCGUGGGUAAUCUGCCCUUGUCACCGGGAUAACACAUCGAAAGGUGUGCUAAUACCGGAUGAAAUACAGACCUGGCAUCGGGACUGUAUCAAAGUCAUGCGGACAAGGAUGAGCCUGCGUCUGAUUAGCUUGUUGGUGGGGUAAAAGCCUACCAAGGCGACGAUCAGUAGCCGACCUGAGAGGGUGAUCGGCCACACUGGAACUGAGACACGGUCCAGACUCCUACGGGAGGCAGCAGUGGGGGAUAUUGCACAAUGGGCGCAAGCCUGAUGCAGCAACGCCGCGUGAGUGAUGAAGGCCUUCGGGUCGUAAAACUCUGUCCUAAGGGAAGAUAAUGACGGUACCUUAGGAGGAAGCCCCGGCUAACUACGUGCCAGCAGCCGCGGUAAUACGUAGGGGGCAAGCGUUAUCCGGAAUUACUGGGCGUAAAGGGUGCGUAGGUGGCCUGACAAGUCAGGGGUCAAAGGCAACGGCUCAACCGUUGUAAGCCCUUGAAACUGUCGGGCUUGAGUUCAGGAGAGGAAAGCGGAAUUCCUAGUGUAGCGGUGAAAUGCGUAGAUAUUAGGAGGAACACCAGUGGCGAAGGCGGCUUUCUGGACUGAUACUGACACUGAGGCACGAAAGCGUGGGGAGCAAACAGGAUUAGAUACCCUGGUAGUCCACGCCGUAAACGAUGAGUACUAGGUGUCGGCCCUAAGGG